GAUGAACGCUGGCGGCGUGCCUAAUACAUGCAAGUCGAGCGAACGGACGAGAAGCUUGCUUCUCUGAUGUUAGCGGCGGACGGGUGAGUAACACGUGGAUAACCUACCUAUAAGACUGGGAUAACUUCGGGAAACCGGAGCUAAUACCGGAUAAUAUUUUGAACCGCAUGGUUCAAAAGUGAAAGACGGUCUUGCUGUCACUUAUAGAUGGAUCCGCGCUGCAUUAGCUAGUUGGUAAGGUAACGACUUACCAAGGCAACGAUGCAUAGCCGACCUGAGGGGGUGAUCGGCCACACUGGAACUGAGACACGGUCCAGACUCCUACGGGAGGCAGCAGUAGGGAAUCUUCCGCAAUGGGCGAAAGCCUGACGGAGCAACGCCGCGUGAGUGAUGAAGGUCUUCGGAUCGUAAAACUCUGUUAUUAGGGAAGAACAUAUGUGUAAGUAACUGUGCACAUCUUGACGGUACCUAAUCAGAAAGCCACGGCUAACUACGUG
rnacentral:rRNA from 1 species